AUUCUGGUAAUUGGAAUGAGUACAACAUAAAUCCUUUAACGAGGAACAAUUGGAGGGCAAGUCUGGUGCCAGCAGCCGCGGUAAUACCAGCUCCAAUAGUGUAUAUUAACGUUGUUGCAGUUAAAAGGCUCGUAGUCGAACUUGUGGCAUUGACGCCUGGAUGCAGCGCUUCGCGCACUGGUUUUCUAUUGUCGUCUUGCCAUCUUUCCGGGGCGCAUUUCUUGCUCUUCACUGAGUGGUUUUGUUAUCCGGAUCCUUUACUGUGAGUAAAUCAAAGUGUUUAAGGCAGGCAUGAUAGCUUGAAUGUAUUAGCAUGGAAUAAUAAGAUAGGACUUCUGUUCUAUUUUGUUGGCUUCUAGAACUGAAGUAAUGAUUGAAAGGGAUAGUUGGGGGUGCUAGUAUUUAACGGUCAGCGGUGAAAUGCUCGGACCCGUUGAAGACUAACUUAUGCGAAAGCAUUCACCAAGGAUAUUUUCUUUGAUCAAGAACGAAAGUUGGGGGAUCGAAGACGAUCAGAUACCGUCGUAGUCUCAACCAUAAACUAUGCCAACUAGGGAUUGGCGGAUGUUGAUUAAUGACUCCGUCAGAACCUUACGAGAAAUCAAAGUCUCUGGGUUCUGGGGGGAGUAUGGUCGCAAGGCUGAAACUUAAAGGAAUUGACGGAAGGGCACCACCAGGAGUGGAGCCUGCGGCUUAAUUUGACCCAACACGGGAAAACUUACCAGGUCCGGACAUAGUAAGGAUUGACAGAUUGAAGAUCUUUCUUGAUUCUAUGGGUGGUGGUGCAUGGCCGUUCUUAAUUGGUGGAGUGAUUUGUCUGGUUAAUUCCGUUAACGAACGAGACCUCAGCCUGCUAAUUAGUUGGGAUAAUCUUUGAUUAUUACACCUUCUUAGAGGGACUUUCGGUGAUUAGCCGAAGGAAGUUUGAGGCAAUAACAGGUCUGUGAUGCCCUUAGAUGUUCUGGGCCGCACGCGCGCUACACUGACAAAGUCAGCAAGUAUUUUCCUUAACUGAAAAGUUUGGGUAAUCUUUAAAACUUUGUCGUGCUGGGACUUGACGAUUGUAAUUAUUUGUCACAAACGAGGAAUUCCUAGUAAGCGCAUGUCAUCAACAUGCAUUGAUUACGUCCCUGCCCUUUGUACACCGCCCGUCGCUCCUACUGAUUGAAUGUUCCGGUGAACACUUUGGAGCUUGCGUUUAGUGGGCAACUACUGAACGAUUUAGUGAAGCUGUGUAAACCUUAACAUUUAGAGGAAGGAGA
rnacentral:rRNA from 1 species